rnacentral:rRNA from 1 species
CGCGCAGGCGGCCAAGUCAGUCGAAUGUGAAAGCCCCCGGCUUAACUGGGGAGGGUCAUUCGAUACUGCUCGGCUCGAAGACAGGAGAGGGAAGCGGAAUUCCCGGUGUAGUGGUGAAAUGCGUAGAUAUCGGGAGGAACACCAGUGGCGAAGGCGGCUUUCUGGCCUGUUCUUGACGCUGAGGCGCGAAAGCUAGGGGAGCAAACG